rnacentral:lncRNA from 1 species
ACAAGGAUGGCACCUCUGAUCUGGGCUGUGGGAUGAGGACAUGAAGGGGCAGGGACUUCAGUCUCACGGACCCCACAAAUUCAAGGACUGCUCCAGAGCACAAGGACCUGGCAGCCUCAAAAUAAAGAGGACAAGGACCAGCAGGCCCACUGAGGCAAAAAAGCAGAGUAAGAAAAAGUAAUAAAUAAGCCCAAUCUUAGGCGUACGGGAGAGCAGUGUGUUUGCAAAGAAUACCUGUAUUCAUGAAGAACACCUUAUAUCAUCU